UUUUAUUAUUUAAAGGAAAGUUGGACACUAUUUUGAAUAGUGUCCAGCUUUCCUUUAAAAAUUUUAAUGCGGACGCUGUUAUAAAUAGUGUCCAAACCUUACAAAGACUAAUAAUUAGUGUCCCGUACUCACCUCAGCGUAACUCACCCUUUUUUUAUAAUUAUUUUCAAACUCACCUGUUUUUGGUAUUUUUUUUAUUUUCGAUUACACCUUUUUUAUCAAAAGCCGGAAAAAAGGAGAGUCAAUCCUGAGGGGAAGCAUUGAAAUAGUUCAUCACCGCCUCUCACUGAUUCUAAAAACUUCUUCAAGCUUGCAAAAGUCUAGCAUGUUAGAGAAACUUCAUCACUACCAUUCUAGAUGUUUUAAGGGUCUUCAACACCAAUUUUACUUUGGUUGCUGACUUAACGUACCUAUAAAGAAGUGUUUGUAUGUGCAGUUGUGAUGUGCGAGUGAAUGAGUGCAAACAAGUGUGAGUGUACUAGAGUCUAAGAGUGUGAAUUGUGAGUGUGCACGUGAAGAGAGUGAGCGUCUUAAGAGUGAAACUCUUGUUCGUGUGUGACUACUAGUGUGAGUGAAAGAAAUACUAAAGCGUGAUGCUGAAGUGUGAGCUUGAAUUGUAAAUUCUCUUUAAUCACUCCUAAUAAAACUUUAUUUUCACUCAAGUCCAUUUUGAGUUUUGAGCUUUCUAUUUCUUCCCGCUCCCAAUUUUUCAACAUUAAUUUGACAAAGAAGACUACUUUUUUAUCAUUUAGAUAAGAAACUAAUAUAUUUAGAUACUUAAAAAUAUGUGAAUUUGGAAGGAAAUGAUAGAUGUUGAGUGCAAUAAUAGAAGAAUAAUUAUAGUUAAAUUAAAAUCAAAACCCUAGAGGAAAUUUCAAAGCCUCAAAAGCCAAGAAAGGAAAAAAGAAACUAAGAAUAGUCAUUAAUUCAACUAAUGAUUAGGAUAGAUUCAGUUACCUAGAGAGUCUCCUGCCUCAAACA
rnacentral:misc_RNA from 1 species